GCAAACUUGGUCAUUUAGAGGAAGUAAAAGUCGUAACAAGGUUUCCGUAGGUGAACCUGCGGAAGGAUCAUUAUCGAAUUGUAAGAACUUUGUGCUGUCGCUGGCCCUCAGGCAUGUGCACGCAUGGGUUCAAACUCUUCAUUAUAUUUAUUCUCCUGUGCACUUUUGUGAAUCGUGGAUAGAUAAACCAGUCGAGGUGUAACUCCCUCGGUCUUGAGCUUUGCACCUAACACGUGCUCGACUCUACAUUUGUCCCCGGUUCAUGUAUUUUCUACACACUAUUUAAAAACAACCUAGAAUGCUUCAAAGUUGGGACUUUAGUGACCCUUCUUAACUUUAUAUACAACUUUCAACAACGGAUCUCUUGGCUCUCGCAUCGAUGAAGAACGCAGC
rnacentral:misc_RNA from 1 species